CUUGGGAAUGACGAGGAAACCGUUACCAUUACUGAGUUUAGUAAUGGUAAUGGUUCUCUUGCUGCAUCCAAA
rnacentral:pre_miRNA from 12 species